rnacentral:rRNA from 1 species
GAGGGUAAACGAGGCUGAGGGAGGCGGGUAGCAAUACUGGCGGCGUACGGAAGGGUGCGGAACACGUACAGAAUCUGCAUUGUCUGGGGCAUAGCCCGGAGAAAUCCGGAUUAACUCCCCAUAAGAUAUUGGAAAGGCAUCUUUCAGAUAUUAAAACUCCGGUGGACAAUGAUGACUGUGCGUCCCAUUAGCUAGUUGGUAGGGUAACGGCCUACCAAGGCGACGAUGGGUAGCUGGUGUGAGAGCACGACCAGCCACACGGGCACUGAGACACGGGCCCGACUCCUACGGGAGGCAGCAGUGAGGAAUAUUGGUCAAUGGACGCAAGUCUGAACCAGCCAUGCCGCGUGAAGGAUGAAGGCCUUCUGGGUUGUAAACUUCUUUUAUCGGGGAAGAAAAUUAUGGUUUCUACUAUAACCGACGGUACCCGAGGAAUAAGCACCGGCUAACUCCGUGCCAGCAGCCGCGGUAAUACGGAGGGUGCAAGCGUUAUCCGGAUUCACUGGGUUUAAAGGGUGUGUAGGCGGGCUAUUACGUCAGUGGUGAAAUCUCCGGGCUCAACCCGGAAACUGCCAAUUGAUACUAUUAGUCUUGAAUGGUUGUUUGAUGGUUGGUCCGGGAAAUAUAAAUCAAUGGUUAGCCGGGCGGAAAUGCAUAGAUAUGAUAUAGUACACCGAUUGCGAAGNCAGCUCACUAUACAACGAUUGACGCUGAGGCACGAAAGCGUGGGGAUCAAACAGGAUUAGAUACCCUGGUAGUCCACGCCCUAAACGAUGAUUACUCGACAUACGCGAUACACAGUGUGUGUCUGAGCGAAAGCAUUAAGUAAUCCACCUGGGAAGUACGUCCGCAAGGAGAAACUCAAAGGAAUUGACGGGGUCCGCACAAGCGUGGAGCAUUGGUUUAUUCGAUGAUACGCGAGAACCUACCUGGCUAGAAUGCUGUGACUAUCCUAAAGUUUUUUUAGCCACGCGCAUAGUUUGCUGCAGCGCGCUUCUUGGUUGUUCUUC